GUGCUUUCUUCUUUAAAAUUAUUUUUCAGUGUUCUAGAUGUGUUUGCUUUCAUUUUUUCCAUAAUUUGAAAUUGACUUCUGAAAUUAAGUUAUGAGCUAUUGAAGACAUUUCUCAAGUCACAUUUCUUGACCUUAGACCAUGUAUGUUUUAGUAAGGGAAGAAAACUGUAAGCUGUAUGAAUGAGGCAGAAUUUACAACAAUCCAACUACUGUUGUCUGUAUGAUCUAGUCAUGUUAAAAUAAAUCAGAUUUAUUUUUUUUUUACUGAUUUAAAAUAUAAUUUCAAAAUUGGUAUAUUGCCUUCUGGGAAAUUUCCAGUUUCCCUCAGGACCAAAAUUCCUUGCUUUGCAAAGUAUGAGCCUGUACCUGUGGUCCCUGAAAUAGCUGUAGUGGGGUUUUUACCGAUUUGGCAUUAUGUCUUGGUGUAGCUCAAAGAAAAAAUCUAGCCAUAAUGUUGGUGCCUACUGGUUGUGGAGUGUGUGUGACAAACUUUAAAUCUGUUCAGAAGAAACUUCUCAUUUUUGUGCUACUUAAUUUAUGUAGCAAAUGGUAUUUUAUCCCAUAAUCUUUAGUCAUGGAAGAAGUCAGUCUUUUAAAAGCAAAUUGCUGCGUGAUUAGUGGUUACUUGCAUUUGUGUAUCAAAUCGGAAUUUUAUGUGGCUGUGGUGCCAUUCUCGGGAUGUGUUACUAACCACCAGUCCAGCAGAGC